rnacentral:lncRNA from 1 species
GCACUACAGCCUGGGCACCAGAGUGAGACUCCAUCUUAAAAAAAAAAAAAAGAGAGAGAGAGAGAGAGCAUUAUACAGAGAACAAAUUGAGUACCUUUUUUUAGAAUGGUAGAGUGUCAGUAACCACUCAUACCUGUGGGGGGGAAGAAAAAGGCUUCAAACUUUGCGCACUUCUGACCCUUCCAUGAAAAUAGAGGGACCUUAUUUAAGGCUAGUUUUGUGGUGGUGGAAUCUGAGCACUGCUGAGUGUUAACAAAAGGGAAUGAAUUGAUGCCAUAUUUAGAGACCAAAAAUGCCAUCAUUUUCACCUGCCUGAAGUCUUCUGUUGUUUUCCCUAGUUGCUGCCUUGCGCUUUUUCCGCAGUACAGGGAGAGAAAUCAGUUGUCUGGCUGUCUAAACUCAUGGCAUCUGCUUAGCAGUUUCACCAGCUCAUGGUUGGGACUCAUCCCUCUGUCAGAAUCCUUUGCUCCAUUAGAAGGGAGGCUGGGACCAGGCUCCUGAAUUGAUUUGCAUACUUCCACUUUACCUAGCUCAGACAACAUAUGGCCAUGUGGAGCACUUGGAUUUAUUUCUGUUUCCUCAAAUUAAAUUCCUGAAAAAUUGGAGAACUCCACAGUUUGUUUUGUGUUACAAAAAAUUUUAGUUCCUUUUUUGAUCAGCAAAGCAACACAAUUUUGGCAUUAAAAAAAAAAUCUCUGGAUUACUUGAAAAAGAGAAUGUUGAUUUGAUUUGCUUCCCCCCUUCUCUUACCCCUUUCAGGAAAAAAAAUUUAUGUUGAAUCUUAAAACACUGCAUCAUGUUGCAAAAUGUCCAUUUAGGCACACUGAAUAGAAAGUAUCAUCAAGUCAUUUUUAUUCUUGUAAUUCAGUAAUUUUGUAUCUUUUGCCUUUUUCUCUUUCCUUAAUGUUAAUUGUGUAACUAAAUGUCUCAAACUUGGGACUUUUCACUUUACACAUCCCUGUGUAAAAAUACGUAGAGUCAGAUAGAAAAAAAUAAGACUCAGUGUUAAUAGAUCAGUGAGGCGGGGGACUAUACUUAACAGUAGUAUGUUGUACAUUUCACAAUAGCCAGAAGAGAACAAUUCAAAUAUUCUUAACAUAAAAGAUAAAUAUGUAAGGUGAUAGGCAUUCUAAUUAAUCUAAUAUGAUCUUUACACAUUAUAUAAAUGUAUCAAAUUACCACAUGUACUCCCCGUUAAUAAUAUUGUAUAUCAGUGAAUUUUUUAAAAAAAGAAAUAGAUAUAAUCAUACAAUGAAUAACUGGAUUAAUGUGAAAUGAUACAAAAAGUUACCAUUUUAGGCUGGCUGUGGUGACCCACACCUGUAAUACCAGCACUUUGUGAGGCUGAGGCAGGAGGAUUGCUUGAGGCCAGGAGUUUGAGACCAGCCUGGUUAACAAUACUAGACCCCCUUUCUAAAAAAAAACAAAAACAAAACAAAACAAAAAAACCCAAGUACAGCAGCAUGUGCCUGUAGUCCUAGCUACUCAGGAGGCAGAGGUGAGAGGAUCACGGAUCACUUGAGGAGUUUGAGGUUGCAGGGAGCUAUGAUCCUAUCACUGCACUCCAGCCAGGGUGACAGAGCAAGACCCUGUUUCAAAAGAAAAAAAGAAAAAA